rnacentral:rRNA from 1 species
GUCCAUGCCGUAAACGAUGAUCACUAGCUGUUUGCGAUAUAAAGUAAGUGGCAAAGGGAAACCAUUAAGUGAUCCACCUGGGGAGUACGCCCGCAAGGGUGAAACUCAAAGGAAUUGACGGGGGCCCGCACAAGCGGAGGAACAUGUGGUUUAAUUCGAUGAUACGCGAGGAACCUUACCUGGAUUUAAAUGGGGAGUGACAGACUUAGAGAUAGGUUUUUCUUCGGACACUCUUCAAGGUGCUGCAUGGUUGUCGU